rnacentral:rRNA from 1 species
GAUGAACGCUAGCGGCAGGCUUAACACAUGCAAGUCGAGGGGCAGCAUGAUGGCAGUUUACUGCCAUUGAUGGCGACCGGCGGACGGGUGCGUAACGCGUAUGCAACUUACCAUCGACUGGGGGAUAACGUUGGGAAACCGGCACUAAUACCUCAUAAUAUUCUGAGAGGCAUCUUUUGGGGUUAAAAGAUUUAUUGGUUGAUGAUGGGCAUGCGUGACAUUAGGUAGUUGGUGAGGUAACGGCUCACCAAGCCGACGAUGUCUAGGGGGACUGAGAGGUUAACCCCCCACACUGGUACUGAGACACGGACCAGACUCCUACGGGAGGCAGCAGUGAGGAAUAUUGGUCAAUGGGCGCAAGCCUGAACCAGCCAUGCCGCGUGCAGGAAGACGGCUCUAUGAGUUGUAAACUGCUUUUUUAUGGGGGUAAUUGCGCGUACGUGUACGUGUUUGAAAGUACCAUAAGAAUAAGGAUCGGCUAACUCCGUGCCAGCCGCCGCCGUAA